rnacentral:rRNA from 1 species
AAAGGUGAAAUUAGAAUAUUGUUAUGUAUAAAUGAUUUAAGCCGAAGCUAAAAAAUCUUAAGUAUAAACUAGGAUUAGAUACCCUACUAUUUUAAGAGGAACAACAAAGAAUAAAUUAUUAAUAGGUAUAUACUUGAAAAUUAAAAGAUUUGGCGGUGAUUUAAUCUUAUUAGAGGAACUUGUUUUAUAAUCGAUAGUCCACGAAUAAUCUUACUUGAGUUUGUAUACCGUCAUUAUCAGGUGAUUCUAAAAAGACAAAUUUCUAAGAAUAAUUAAUUAGCGAAAUUAGAUCAAGGUGCAGCUUAUAAACAAGUAAAAAUGAGUUACAAUAGAUUGCUUUAUUAUGAAUUAAUUAUUAUGAAGGAGGAUUUAAUUGUAUAUAAGUUUAAUAAGCUUAUAUGAAAUGAGCUCUAAAUCAUGUACAUAUCGCCCGUCGCUUCC